ensembl:snRNA U6 U6 spliceosomal RNA
UAAAUCACUUUCUAUUUAAAAUAAUUAGUUCCUCGAUACAGAGAAGAUUAGCAUGGCCCUUGUGCAAGGAUGACAUGCAAAUUUGUGAAGCAUUCCAUAUUUAA